AGAUGUGGCGCAGCGGAAGCGCGCCGGGCUCAUAUCUAACAUGAGGUUACCCGGAGGUCCCUGGAUCGAAACCAGGCAUUGCUA